UACGGAGGGGGCUAGCGUUGUUCGGAAUUACUGGGCGUAAAGGGUGCGUAGGUGGCGCCGUAAGUCGGGUGUGAAAUUUCGGAGCUUAACUCCGAAACUGCAUUCGAUACUGCGGUGCUUGAGGACUGGAGAGGAGACUGGAAUUCAUGGUGUAGCAGUGAAAUGCGUAGAGAUCAUGAGGAAGACCAGUGGCGAAGGCGGGUCUCUGGACAGUUCCUGACACUGAGGCACGAAGGCCAGGGGAGCAAACGGG
rnacentral:rRNA from 1 species